UGAGCAAUCUGCCCUUCUCUUUGGAAUAAGCGUUGGAAACGACGUCUAAUGCCGAAUACGACCUCCUUUCGCAUGAUCGGAGGUGGAAAGUUCCGGCGGAGAAGGAUGAGCUCGCGGCCUAUCAGCUAGUUGGUGUGGGUAAUGGCCCACCAAGGCGACAACGGGUAGCCGGCCUGAG
rnacentral:rRNA from 1 species